CCUUAGGCAAUGCAGGGAGUGGUUCGUCUGGUAACGUUGAGUCCUGCUAAUGUGAGGGCGUGUGAGUGGUGAUCGGGUUGUUUGCGCUGGCUGGCUCCAUGGUCACGACCAUCGAACUGUUAGCACUCAACCCUUCUCAAGUUUGUUCGCCUUGUGUCUCUUGGCCUCGGCGUUCACUCAUGGUUCUUGUGUUGCCUACCCGUUUAGUGGUAUUCAUGUGCCUCUUAAAGACCCGUUCCAUCCAGACCCCUUCUAGGGGCUGCUGGGGAGUUCGAAAGUGAUGCAUGUUUUGCGUUAGCUGUGCAUUGUAAUGGCUUGCGUGCUCACAUGUGUUUGUUGUUCCCUCGGACGCGGUGCAUGCGGUGAACGUGGGUUGACAAUUGUGCCCCGUUGAGUCCCUUUGAUUUAUCGGUUGCCUUGAAUGACACUUUGUCGUAGUGCCGGUGUUGCUUCAUCAUUCGUGGUGGCAACACUUGCACGUCUGAACAGAGUCGUGAUG
rnacentral:misc_RNA from 1 species